GCGGGUAUAGCUCAAUGGUAGAGUAGCAGCCUUCCAAGCUGCCUGUGUGGGUUCGAUUCCCAUUACCCGCU
rnacentral:tRNA from 22 species